rnacentral:lncRNA from 1 species
UGGCCGUCCAAUCGUAACCGGCUCGCACCAGAGCCGUCCGAUCACACACUACAGCCUCUGAUCAUGCCUGAUCAUGUCCGAAUUGAGUUUCAGCCGUUCGAUCACGAUGGCAUGAUAAAUCUAAACCAUCGAAUUGCGUAAAAAUAUCCGUAGACCACGUGAUCGAUCCAUGCGGCCUCCAUGGACCACCCAGCACCCUGUGGUCGAUGAUGGACCGUGCAGGGCGCUAGGCUUGGGCACCCACAUGCGCUGGGCUGGCACAUGUGCGCGCUUGCACUGGGCCCGCCUGCGCGCUGGACCAUGUGCACCUACGCGCAUGCAUCUUCGCCAAGCCCGACCGUGCCACCAUCGGCCUCCACCGCCUCGUGCAUCGUGCUAUCUGGUUCGAGUUUCUUUCAUCCGUAUUUUUACUGUCUGGAUUUCGCUUAGACUGUUCUUGAGCUCGUUGGACUCCGU